ensembl:lncRNA
GAGGACUAGUAUCUAACUGGUAUCUGUGUGAGGAGAGGAGAGACUGGUGUGAGGACUGGUAUCUAACUGGUAUCUGUGUGAGAACUAGUAUCUAACUGGUAUCUGUGUGAGGAGGGGAGAGACUGGUGUGAGGACUAGUAUCUAACUGGUACCUAUGUGAGGACUGGAGAGACUGGUGUGAGGACUAGUAUCUAACUGGUAUCUGUGUGAGGACUGGUAUCUAACUGGUAUCUGUGUGAGGACUGGAGAGACUGGUGUGAGGACUGGUAUCUAACUGGUACCUGUGUGAGGACUGGUAUCUAACUGGUAUCUGUGUGAGGAGAGGAGAGACUGGUGUGAGGACUAGUAUCUAACUGGUAUCUGUGUGAGGAGAGGAGAGACUGGUGUGAGGACUAGUAUCUAACUGGUAUCUGUGUGAGGAGAGGAGAGACUGGUGUGAGGACUGGUAUCUAACUGGUAUCUGUGUGAGAACUAGUAUCUAACUGGUAUCUGUGUGAGGAGGGGAGAGACUGGUGUGAGGACUAGUAUCUAACUGGUACCUAUGUGAGGAGAGGAGAGACUGGUGUGAGGACUAGUAUCUAACUGGUAUCUGUGUGAGGACUGGUAUCUAACUGGUAACUGUGUGAGGACUAGUAUCUAACUGGUAUCUGUGUGAGGAAUAGUAUCUAACUGGUAUCUGUGUGAGGACUGGUAUCUGUGAGAGGAGAGACUGGUGUGAGGACUAGUAUCUAACUGGUAUCUGUGUGAGGACUGGUAUCUAACUGGUACCUGUGUGAGGACUAGUAUCUAACUGGUAUCUGUGUGAGGAGAGGAGAGACUGGUGUGAGGACUAGUAUCUAACUGGUAUCUGUGUGAGGAC